UUCAAACCAGCCCAGCAAAGUAUCCA
rnacentral:piRNA from 1 species